rnacentral:lncRNA from 1 species
UAAUGACUUUCCAUCAGUUUUUACUUUAUAAACGUUUAUAAAUGUCUACCUGUCGCGUAUGAAUUUCAAAAGGUUAAUUACAGUGUUGUGUUACCUUCACGAGCAAUGGACGGAUUUUAAAUACACAUUUCUCACUUUAUUUACAUUUAACAUGGAAUUUAAUACCCAACGAAUUCUAGUGCAUGACAAAAGGAUAAAUUGAUUGAUAAUUUGUGUAGUUUUAUUGUUUACUUGUGACAAACUAUGAUCAUAAAUUUUAUUUGGAUUACAAUCUAUUGAGUCUGAUAAAUUGUUUUGUAUUUUUACGAAAGAAUGUGAAUGCAUGACCAGGCAAGCUGCUGAAAAUGGCAUCAUGCGCAAGUUUCAUGGAGUCUCCACUCGUCCUUUGGGUAAUGUAUAUUUUUUUCAUACAAAUUGUUCUCAUGAAACGAUUUAUUAACUUAAAUUAUUUCUAAAUUGAUGCAAGGACAUGCCUGAAGAGUGAAGUCUUGAAUGCACGAGUUAUCAACAACAUUGACUUUAAAGUACAUAUACGACUUUGAAGAAAAUAUUUCUGAGCAUUUUUCAAUGUUAAACCAUAAAACACUACUACUACUGCUUCUCAAAAUAUUUUCUGGACACAUAGGAAAAAGCUUUGUGUACAUUAAUUAUCUGUAUGAAUAUGUUGUCCAUACCGAAAACUGGCUUUAAUACAAUACUUUGAGAGAGCGCCACAGAUUUGUUGACGGGGCGUUAGAGCAGAUUUGAAGCUCUCUACAUUAUGUAUUUGUGAUGAUUUGUUGAAGAAUGCCAAUGCCAUAAUCAUGAUUAUCCAUGUUUUCAAUCAGUGCACAUGUGUGUCCUGCAUCUGACUGUUUAUUUUUAAACAGCAAACACAGGCCAGGGUUUCCGCUGGCGGUCGCCAUUUUCGCAAUUUGCGAAAAAAUAAUAAUUGUGGCGAUUAAAAUUCGUCAUUGGCGAAAGAAUUUGGCGAAAGAAAUAUAUAUAACGAUUUAUUUUCAGCCAUCUUGUUUAUUUACUUUUUUUCGGGUUUCUCGGACUUUACCCGAUCAGACAAUACUCGGAAUUCACCUUGAACUCGUUAAGAUUUUGAUAGAAAAUCAAUAAUCAGCUGAUCGCAUUUAUAGCUAUCGACAUCGAAGGACUAAUUAAUAAAGGUGUUGAUUGUAUUAUAUAACAAAUUGAUAUGGUAUGGUUAAAUGGCCUCCGUUACAUGUCACAAACGGGAUUUUGCCACUUUGCGACGCACGUGUUGAAGCAAAAUGUUGAUGCUUCCUCUCGAUCCUUCUUUUAAUGAUAGUCAAGAAAAGAAAACUGUUGUUAUGACGAAAAAUCUUCAAAAGCAAGAAGGUCUCUGAUUUAAAACUUUAUCAUUUAACUUUGAUAUAGAUAAUUGAUUUGAGUGGGUACUUUAAAGUCGUUUCAGUGACACCCGUUUUUCAAUGUUUCAAGCAUUACGAUGGUCUAGAAAAGAAAACUGUCGUUAUGGAAGAAAUCUAUUCAAAAGGUUAGGUUGCAUGAAGUAACACUUCAAUGUAAUGACUACACCUUACACGAGGGAUAAAUUUCAAGUGGUAAAAUGUGUUGUUUUGUUGUAAAAACCACUUUUUGUUUUGGAGGGGGGGACGGAAAAUUUUAAAAGAAAAAUAUAUUUGUGUUACUUGGCGAAAAAAAUAAUAAAGUGGCGAAAAAUAUAUUUUUUUGGCGAAAGAGGUGGCGAAAAAAAUAAUUAACCCAGGGGAAACCCUGACAGGCUGUCAUGAAGCUCUACUUGUACAUGUAUAUAGAGAAUCCUAUAACAAAAAAAUAGAAUGUAGUGGUAAAUACAUGUACGAUAGGCUAUUUGCCAAUUUCCGUCAAUUGACCCUGUUAUUAGAGAUCCCUUUUUAGUUGUCUCCCUUAUGAGAGACAUUAAUUUUUAUUUACAAUGGGGAGCUAGCAGAAAGAGCAAAUUUACCUGUGCGUAAUGUGAGUAAUCUCUAAGGUUUUUUAAAUCUUUUAAUUACAUUAAUUUGUUGUAAAGCUAAAAACCUUUGUCCUCUGAAAUAGUUUUUCGUGAAAAAUUAGUUGAACCGCCAAUACACCACUUUCAAUUUGCUAUGCUUUGCAUUGGCAAAAGCCAAUUUUGUCCGGUAUGGAACAAGUCUACUAUUCACAAGAGAAGUAAUUCAUUUAAAAAGUGUGUAAUAACAGAAUCAAAUCGAUAAUUGGCAAAUCGACUAUUGUACCUAUGAUUCUGCUUACAGGCUAACAAAAAUUAGGGACAUUUUUCUUAAAAAUGUUUAUUGAUACAUGUACAUUGUAUUUAUAAACAGGAGAGACAGUCUGAAUUUUGUAGCUCUUGCCCAAAAAUUAAAGUAAAUCUUUAGUGUUACUGGGUAUGCACUAAAACAAUUUUAAAGGUUACAAUAAAAUGAAGGUCAAGUAUUUGGAUUUCCAUCAUUAUUGAAAUCUAAAUGAUUAAAUCAAAGAACUUUUGUAUUUGCUUGAUAUAAUUUUGUGUGCAUGUAUAUUUGUAUGAUGCUUGUAUUUAAUUUAGUUGGUUUGUUUUAGGUGGAGACUUUUGCAAAUGGAAGAUCUAUUGAGUUUCAAGAUCUCCAUGAUGGUAUCUUUCUGAACAAAGUGCUUCAACAAAUGUAAGUAACUAAGUUUACACCAUUGUUACACAAGAAUGUGCAGUAAUACAUGUAGGUAAUAACAUACACAGUACCAAUUUUUUGUGCUAAAAAUGUGCACUAGGUAAAAAAAUGAAAUUUGUUUAAAAUGAUGUAAACCAUUUCAAACUGUCUUUUUCAACUUUUUCAUUUUUGUAUGUCAAACAAGUACGUACAAUUAAUUUGAUGUAAUAAAAGAAAAUAUGUUAAGUGGACAUAAAACAUUUUUUUCAACUUUUUAUUUUUAUAUAAUUAUUUGAUAUAGUUUUAAUUAGUGUCCUUUCUUAAUUCCAUAGUUAGAUGCAUGAUUCUCAAUGUAUAUUGUGAAAACAAUUCAAACUAUUCACAUGUUAAAGAAAUUAAUAUAUUUUUAGUUUUAUGUUAAAUUUUACCUAUUUCAGUGACAGUCGACCAGUCUAUGCCAAUGUCAAUGAUACUGUUGAUGAUAUGAACAGUAGAUUACAGAACUGGGAUAUACUGAUUCGAAAUAUCAAAUCAUUUUAUGUGGUAAGUCCAAGAAAUCAUUUUAUACAUGUACAAUGUAUGGACAUGUAUAUUGAUAGUGUAGAAUGUUAUGUAUAAGCUCAUAGAUUGAAACAAUUCAAUGCUUUCAACAGAGAUUACAAAAUCAUCCUGACAUAAAGAAAUUUAUCAAAUUCUGACUGAGAUUCAAAGCAUUGAAUGUCUUGAAUAAAUCAAACUUUCAAAAAGUUCAUUCAGGAACAGCAUAAUCAGAAAGGUAUUGAACCUUGUAUAUUGACAGAAUAAGCAUAAAAAGGAAGGGGGGGCAGUUAAAGGGAAGGCUUUUCAGGUACAAUGUAUUUUCAUGCUAACUUGUCUUGUGGAGUACAUUAGUACUGUUGAGCUAAAUUAUAUGUAUCAUAUAUAGCCUCAUUGUAUUUUGUAAAUACAUGUACUAACUGUACAUGCUAUGUGUACACUUUUGCUUAUUUCACAGGUUUAUCUAAACUGUAUAAUAGUGUCCCUUAAGGCUUACAAUUUUCCAGUAUAAAAUGUGCAGUGUAUCCAUUUCAAUCUACAUGUAUUAUAGAGUUGACUAUCAUGCGAUUCAAUCAUUAUCUGUGUUUAUCACAAGAAUGUUGAUAUUGAUUUUUUCCACUACAAAACAAAACCAUUGGAAAAAGGUUUUACUUUAUGGGUUGAUUUUAUCAGAACAUUUUUUUCAAUAAAUGAAAGGAAAAGGAGGUGUAAUUGAUUACAAUUGUCCUGGUAUAUAAUCCAUUUAGAGCUAUAUAUGUUAAAAUUAAUAGUAGAUGGUAUUGCAAGUAGAUAUGUGGUCUUAUAAAAUGUACAAUGUACAUGUAUAUUACCUUCAACAUGUUCAAAUAGAAAAUGUUUUCCCCUAAUAGUGUUUUAUCUAGAGCAAUUUAGCUUGCCUUUUUCUUCCAAAACAAUUGACUCCAUGUGCCCUUUUGUCAUGUUUGUGUCAUCGAGAUUAAGUCGCAGUAAGUUUUUUUUGCUGAUCGAAUGUGCUAUGAACUUACUAUUAAACUUUUAACUAUAAAGAAAAUUAUUGCUACAUGUAGUAUGGCAGAUUGAUACAUUUAUAUAAGAAUAAGAGACAAGUGUUUUUGACAGAUUAUUUGCCUUCAAUAUUAUCUGCAUAUAUAUCAUUUAGCAUAAGUACAUGUAUAAAUAAUUGAAGGAAUAACUAAAUAGGUACAUUGUUUAAGAAAAUUUGGUAUAAGUGUCAAUGAAACAACUCUUUAUCCAAAAUUAAACUAUAUAUAGCUAUAUUCAGUUUAUUGUGUCAGUGUCAGAAUGUACUGUAGGAUCUGAGAAAGUGUAGUCCUAUUUCUGUUGUUUCAAUCAUCUUUACAGGAUUAUCACAUACAAAAACACCCAAACUUUUUAACUUUUAUUUCUGUUUUUAGUUGUACUUUAAAAUAUCAUGAUAAAUGAAUUUAAAUUUAAACCAGGUACAAAUCAAUCAAUUAUACACCUACAAAUGUUUUCAAGUAUAAAUUUUGAUUUUUUUUGCUUGAUUUGAAAACAGUUUUUUACUUUUGAUAAAUAAGUCUGUCAGUUGAGGCUUACCAAUUGAAUAAAUUCAUUGAAUACACAUUUACAUUGUACAUGUAAUAAUGUUUAUCUACUGGAUAAAAUCUUGGUAAUGUUUUAAACAACUGGGCCCUACCUAUACUAAUGUUUGUUUUCUUUUAAACCUACAUGUACUCAUUAGGGAGUUUUAUAAGAUUGACUUUUAUUUUUGACUUCAAAAAUUCACAUUCCAUGACAGCUGUCAAAUAUAUUUGAAGUUUAUAACAGAUGUUUUUAUUCAAAAUGUUUGAAAAAAUACAUAUGUGUAAAAAACGUUAUGAAAAUGCCUGUGCGUACACGUACUAUGAAGUAAUGGUUUAUCUAUGUAUUAUAUACAAUAGACGUUUUCACUUUAAACUGUUUACUCCUGUUAUGUCAAAAUUCCUUUAAAUGUUUUUGAUAGUAAGACGGUACACCUGUAAUCAUUUACCUGAAUCUUACAUUUAUUUGUACUGCGUCAAAAUAUUAAUAAUGCAUGCUUCAACAGGUAUUAUCAAUGAAUGUAACAUUUUACCCUGACAAGUGUAAUUCUAUUUUUCGUGUUCAGUUAUUGAGUUAUUUCAUAUUUCAUCAAAAGAAGGGGAAUAAAAUUGCCAUUCUGAAUAGCUGUACAUUUAGUUCUCUUUGUUACGUUUAAUUCCAUUUAAAUGGUCAUAUUUAUAGGUAUUGUUUGUAAAUAGUGUCGACUCAAAAGAAACCCCUCAACUUGGCAGACCUACAUAGAAAUUUCUGAUAUCAAAUUGUUUAAUAAUGACAUCCAUAAUGCGGUAUUGGCCCAAAUAUGUUAAUUUUGAAUGACUUCAGGAAAAGUUACUUAGGUGAAUUAAAUAUUUAAUGGGUUUAUAUUGUUGCAGGUAACAAAAGGUUAUAUAAAUUAUGAAUUUUACCUUUCUGUUAUAUACAUUUGUAGAUUUCAAACAAAUAGAUACUUUUAUGUUUCAUGCAUGAUUCAUAAAUUACGAAAUCAUUGCUCUUUAUUGACUAUAAGGGGGUAGGUUAAAACUUUUUUUUUCUGGAAUGAUACAGUGUAUAUUACUAUAAGAAUUGUUGUGCAAGUUUUAUUUUACUUAAGGUUUAUAUGAGCAAAUGUAUGCAUUUAGAAAGGAGAAGGUCCGGUAAGGACUCAUUUUGGCCUCAAAUUUUAGUUUCAUCUGACGAAAGAUUUUGACCACUUUUUAAACACUUAAGUGUCUAUUUUACUUGAUUCAAUUAGUUUAUGUGAAAGAUUUUAACUGAUUUAGUCAUUAAAAACGAUCCGAUUCCAGCUCAAAUAUGAAAAAUCUACCAAAUAUGCUGAAAAAUGUCACUUUACAGAUGGUUUUUGUCAAAAAUGAAAGUGGCCGCAUCCGUGUUCAUCCACAACCUUUAUAUAUGCUAUGUAUUAUCAUAAAAUACAACUUACAUUUCAAUAUUAAGGAUGAACACGAAUGCGGCCACUUCCGUUUUACACGGAAACCGUCUAAAAUUUAACUAAAAUGCUAGAAUUUUGAAGAUUUCAGUAAUUUAGCAUGACUUAAUGGCGCUACAACCCGAUAUAUUGUGCAUUGCAUAGUCAAAAACAGCCCAUAUUUAUGUGGCAGACGCAUUCAACUGUCCAAUAAAUAACUAAAAGUUUACAUUUUAACAAUUUUGUAAAACUGUUAUAUUUUGGGGCCAAAAAGGGGUCUUACCGGACCUACUCCUUUGUUAUUUUAUGAACCUGGAUUCCAUUUCCGAUCUUUUGAAUGUCAAUACUUUAGUUUACACCACAAAUGGACAUAUUCUAUCCUCAGAGGAAAAAUCUGACCAAGUUCAUGUUUGUCUAUUGAUAUAUCCUAUAAGAAUUCUAUUAAAAACAUUUACUGGUUUCAAACGAACAUUUUUUAUCAAUAUUUUUUUCAUGCAUAAGUUCAAAUGUUGAAAUUAAUAUGAGAGUUUACCCUUAGUAUUGCAUAUGACAGGUUGCUGGACUGAAACAGUAGGACAGAUGUUGUUAACUCACUACAUAAAAUAAUAUAAACCAAUUUGUAACAAAAGUAAAGGAAUAGCACUUUUAUUGCUGAUCUGCAUCUACUUCACAGUAAACCAUUCAAAAAUAAACGUGCUAGAAGCAAAAGCUUAUCAUUUUACCCACUACAAGUACGAAACUCUCUUGCAUUGUUUUGAGCAGACCUUUUUUUAGAUGGCCAUAACAUGUUAUUUUUACAUUCAACUUGGUUCAGUUUUAAACCUUGGUAUGAAUAAUUAUGUAAUUUCACUCGCCAUAACUUUAAAUUGUGCUUAUGAAAAUAAAGAGAUAUGACAUAAUCAUAAUUUCAAUGAGACUGCUAGCUACAAGUUAAGGCCAUGGGACCAUAGUUUUUUGAAGUUUAUGAAAUGUUUACAAUAAUACAUGGCAUUGUGAGUUAAUUUUCUUAUAUAUACCAUAUCUGUUACAUGUUAUCUACUGCAGAUUUACCUGUAAAUUGUAUAGAGCAGUGAAAUUUUAAGUACCUGUUUUUAAAUUGAAAAAAAUAUUAAUAACAUGCAUUCAUGUUAAUAUUAGGCCUUUUCCCAUGAGAUCAGACUAUAAUAUUUUUUCGGGGUCAUUUUAUUAAAAUGACACUGAACUUUUAAUAGAUAGAAAAUACCGCAUGAAUCAUGUUGUGGUUUGCUAAUCUUAAAACUGUGAACAAUUAGUUCUUGUCUAUCGCAAGUGUAUUAUCAGUCAGUACCUGAUUUUGAAUAAAUCUGUGUGAUCAACAAGGGGUGUAAAAAUAGUCCCGGUUAAUCCUAGAUUAGUAUAAUCUUAUAUCAAUAAAUCACUGUGACUUAAGUCCAGAAAAAUGUAACCUUUGUGCAAUUAAAAUUCAACUAGAGAUUAGUAAAAUAAUUUAUUUAAUUACUUGGGGAUUUGAAGACAUUUUGAUAAUAAUAAGCUGAAGUAAAUGAUGCCAAUUUAACUUUUUAAUUAUACAAUUUGGUGACUUUGAUUGAUUUUAUUGAAAGUUGAAUGAUUUAUUGGCUAUUUAAGUGAUAUUUUAUGAAGAAAAUUAAGUAAUAACACAGAGUCAAUUUUCUAAGUAAAUUUACUUACAUUAAUAAGAUUUUUAUGUACACAAUAUUUGAGGAUGAACUUAAACUACAGUUUGAAGUUGAUAAUAAAAAUUGACAAAUUUAUACAAUUUGAUUCAUCGCCAAAGUUGUAAGAUGCUUACAUGUAAACCGUUAUACCUCUGAUCUUGAUUUGAAAUAAAUUAUAAUUAAAAAUAUCCUUGGAAUUUAAUAAUAUUGUCAGUUUAAAAAAAAUGUAUCAUGUAUUAAUGAAGGUCUUGAAUUCUGUCUGAUCCAAGAUUUCUAAAAAAGUGUUUGUUAAACUUUCUCAUAAGGUCUGAGUCUGGGGUAUUUGGAAGAUAAAACAAAACCCCACUUAAAAUUUAAGACAGGCAGAUUAGAUUGUCUUUCAGACUGGUAGUCUGUCUGAAUUUCUGUCACACUAUUUGGGAAUUUCUUAAUAUCUGAUGACUUAUAAACUCCAGAACAUUUUCCUUGCUUUAAAUCAUCACCAAUUCAAACUUCCCAAUAAUUCAACAUAUUUUUUACAUUUUUUUUAUCUUAUUCAUGAACUGGGAUGUUAGUAUCAAAUAGAGCCAAUUUUAUUUCUUCUUUGCAUGAAACAAUCUGAUUAAAGCCACUGGACUGAGACAUUUUUCUUUGUUAAUGAAAUUGAAUGUUCUUGGUAACUAGUUUCAUUUGACAAACAAAAGUAUAGGGUUGGAAUUUAUUCAAAGGUAUGACAAAUUGAUUGAUAGUUAUUAUUCUGUAGGUCCAAGAAAGUUUAUCUGACACCAGGUGGCCUGGUUCAAUUGAUGUUUAAUUUUUUUUUUCAAUUCAUUUAUAGAAUCUCAAAUUCUUUUUCAGUAGGAUUAUAGAUUUACAUGUUCUAUUAAAGCUUUGACUAGAAACUCAUUUAUCCAAAGGCCAUGUGACCUUUUAAUUUUCAGUCAAUCAGAAAAUUUUAUCUGAAAAUGAAAUCAUAGUGUGAUAUACUUAUAUAGACUAUUGAAAAUGAUAAUUAAAAAAUCUGCCUGUGGAUUACAUACUAACAACACAAAUAUUUCGACGAAUCAACCUUUUUUUCAUGAAAAUGAAAACAUACAACUGUGUGUAGUUAGUAUUUUUUUUUGACAAAACACCCACCUAGAUGUACUGUUAUCUGAUAUUUUGGUAUUUGAAAGACAGAUGGGGGAUGAACAUUGUUGAUUCAGUAAUCCAACAACUAAAAAAAUCAUUACAAAAUCUAAAGGGUUAACUUUUACUGAAAUAUUGUAGAUCGUUCUUGAAUAUUGGCAACCAGAUAAAAGUAAAUUUAGAUCAAAACUGUUAAAGUUAUGGAAGGAAAGCAAAUGCAUGUACUAAGAAAAUGCUUUUCUUCGUGAAUGCUAAUUUUGUUUGAUUAUUGAAUAAUAUUUAGUAAAGUCGCUUUUGAAGUUCUCUAGUAUCAUGUGACUUCAAUAUUUAAAGGAUGCUGGUUUAACAACUGAUAUAGUCCAUCCAAAGUGCUGUAAUUGAAGUAUGCUGGUUUGGUUGGUGAUAGACAAGACUUUGACAAAUCCUCUCAGUCUGUGACUGUUUCUAACCAAAGACAUAAUGGUUAUUUGCUUCUUUUCAACAAACCUUAUGGACAUUUUAGGCCAAGACGGGUAGUUUAAGAAUAGAAAUAAUAGUAGGAUGAUUUGUCUUCUUGAACUACAGUCAAUCACUGAAUCGGUCAUAUUUGUGUGAAUUUCACUGAAUUUGAAUAUCUACAGAUAGAUAUAUUAUUCACAUAGUACAUACAUAUUAUGCACAAUUUUCAUUUACGAAAAUAAUCAUAGACCAAUUUCAUGUCUUUCAAGAAGAUUAAACAAACAAUUCAAAUUAUAAUGGGAUUAAUUUGAUGCAUAAUUUGGUCCUUAAAGUGUCCGGGAAAUUUUUGAAAUCAAUUAAUUUCAAAACUAUAUACAUGCAAGUACUUGUAACAAAAACUGAAUUUUCUAUGGGUAUACAUGUAAAUCUAGUAGGACUGUUAAAAUAGAUAAGUUUGACUUUAAUUUAUAGAAAUUAUAUACUUAGUAAGUGAAAGUGGUUAGAAUUGUUUGUGAUAAAAUUUAAAGAAAUCUUAUCGACUAACACUCCAAAUGAACUAGGAUAUGGCUGUAUAACAGAGAAUACGUUUAUGGUUUAAUGGUUCUACAAGUAAAUAUGGAGAGUUGUUCAUGAAGAUUUUACUGAUAUAUACUCUACAUACAUACACCUAAGGUGUCGGUGCAUAGCGCCAAAUGAUUUGUUUGAUCACGGUUUAGAUGUUUAGAUAUUUACAAAACUUCACAGCCUAGCUUUUAUGAUCGUUUACUUGAACUUUAUUGAAAAGAAUUGUUUUUUUAUUGUGAUUAUAUCCUUUCAAACAUUUUAUAAUAUUUUUGUCUGGCUUUAUUAUAAUCAAGGCAUUGUGCAAACAAUAUUUUCGUUUCGACCUUUAUAUGGGUAACAAGGUUGAAUAAAUGUGUAUUGGGCCAAUGUUUGAACAAGGUAAAUGAAUUAGUGGUGAGAGUGAAGAUUAUAGAGGCUUGUUGACACGCUCCAAUGAUCAAUGUCAUUAAGUCUAACAAUACCUGCAUUCCGCUUCAAAGUCUAAAACUCACAACAAAGGGGAGAUAAUCUUCUUAAUGACUUUCAAGAUCUUUUGUUUCCAAAUCCAAUUAUUUUUUUGGAACAAGUUAACCAUUGAAGCUUUGGCUGUAUUUAGUUGUAUUAAUCGUCUAUUGAAUCAAAGUUACACGGUAUUGCUGAAAUAACUUUGGCACAACGUUAGGCUAAUAUUUAACGUAUAAGUACUUCAAGCAUUCUUGUAAGUCCUAUAGAGUAACUUGAAAAAUUAUAAUGCAUUAGUAAAAUGAAAACAUUAUGUAAUAUAAAUUUAAAUGGUACAAAAAAGUACAUUUUGUACCAGUUUACACAAAAUGCUUUAUAUAUAAUGUAGAUUGCUCAAAGGUAUACAAUGGACAAACUUAUGUUUCAAAAGGGUCUUUUUGCAACUAAUGCCCUUGCCUUUCGAUAGAAGAUAAACAUGAAAAUACUUUGCUGUACAUGUUUAUCACUGCUUUACAGGAAAUUUUGGUUUUCAGACUGAUCUCUUUAAAAGCUUGUGUUGAAAAAAUAUUUUUUUAAUCACUUAUUACCUUAUUUGAUCAAAAUAUGCCACAGAAUUGGUAAAAAGCAAAAAAUUUUCUUUUGUUUUUAUUGGCAAUUGUAAAUGAAAUACUUCUGGUUAGUUGAUACCAAAAAUAGGCAUUUAUUCAAAGCCAAGCAACAUUAACAUUAUGAAAAUGAAUGAUAUAAGUUAAAUUGAAUAUUUUUUUCUCCAGCCAGCUCAGAUUUUGGCUUCUAAUUAAUUGUGUAUUAGAUAAGAUGAAUAUCAAAAUGUUGCAUGUAUGCUCCAAUAUUAAGCCAGAUGAACAGGCAAUUAAUAUCCUUGUCAUAUUUUAUGCAUUGUCUUUGGUGUGGUAAAACUGGUACAUUAAUAUGCAUAUUUUACUGCACCAGAUGCACAUUUCAACAUUGAAUGUCUCUUUGAUGAUGCUAGAGGUCAAAAUAUUUGAAAUCCAAAAUUUUAUUGAAAAGUUCAAGAGUUGAACAAACCUCAAACUUUCCCUCAAAUUACAUUCUUUGAAUUUCACAUAUACUUUUAUGUAAAUAUACCUGUUUGUAUCCGUCAUUGUUGAAGACAUCCCGUGUUUGACUAAACACUUAUAUUUUAUUUGGUCCAAGGAUGUGAUUGACUUUUUAAACAAAUUACGUGUUUUAUACCAGUUAUUUAGAUAAAGAAUAAUUUAAGGAUAUCCUCUAGAAUUGAAGUGUACUUGAUCUAACAAUGAGUGGUAAAACUCUGACAUCAGACUAAGCAGAUAUUUAUACUUCACGCAAGCUACCUAUUAUAUAGCAUAAAUUGGACUACAAUUAUCUAACCUUACUAUUGGGUUUUGAUACAUGUAUUUUGACUGAUUGUGGGAACACAAUUUAGUGGAGACUGCAAACAGCAUUACAUUGUAGAUUUAUUGUUAAUUCAUAAUAUCCCACUUUAAAAGUUGAUAAAUACAAUAGUAUAUACCUAUACAUUAGUUUGUCUGUCUGUCUGUCUGUUUGUAAUCAUAUGUAAGGGAAAAGUAUUUCUGUCAUUUUGCAUUCUAUUGCUUGUGUUGAAUUAUCAUCUGUUAUGAGAUAACCUUGCUCUUAUAACUUUCAGUAUUUUCAUUUAAUGUAUAGCAGUAGAUCAACUGAGUUUAUAUGUUAGUCUUGAAAGGACCUCCCUUAAAGAGACCUAAAUUUUAUUUUAUCAUACAUGAAAGUCUUUCCACUAACUAUUAUUGACUAAAUGACUGUCAAAUGGUUUUAAGGUUAGCUAACGUAAUAUUGCUACAUUAAGACUAAGUUUUCAAAUAGUACCUAGAUAGCUCUGAGUUGACUAAGUAUCUCAAAUGCAGGGUUCUGACAAAGUUUUUCUGGUGAAUCCUUGGAAUCUUCAUUUGAAGCUCUGACAAGGCAUCAUUUCUGACGGUCUUAGUUUAUCAUUUAGGUUUUGUUAUCAAAACAAAAACAAUCAUAUUUAUCAUAUUAGUUUAACUUUUAUAAUGAGAAUGUGAUGGUUUAUAUCCUCUACAUAUACAAUGUGGAUGGCACCUUUGGACUUGCAUGAUGAUGUUCAGAAAAGGGGGAUUUCAGGAUAAAAGGCCUCAUCUUGUGAUAUACGUAUAUAUAAUGAGGCAUGAUAUGUUUUAUUGAAAAGUAGUGAAUAAUUUUUUCUUUACAUGUAUUUCAUUGAAUACAUAAUAUUGUAUAAAAAUAAGCACCUUGUAUAUGUAUGAUAGUUACUUGUCUUAUAAAGCUUUUUUUUUUGUUUAUAGGAUGUUUUGCAACAGAUACUAAUAGUAAAGCUACCAAACUUUCAACAGAUAUGUAAAGAACCAGAAAAAGGUAGGAAACACUACUCUAUAGGAGUUGUGAUAUUUUCUGUCCUAUUAACCUUCUAAAGCCAAGUGGAUGUUAUAUUUUUAACUUCAAAAGUUAAAUAUACCAUCUUCUUUAGUUUUGUGUUGUUAGAAAAAAGUUUUUUUUUUCUCAUUGUGUUGAAGACUCAUUCAGUGGCGGAUCCAGAACUUUUCAUAAGGGGGGGCCCUCUGGUUGACCUAAGCUCCAGUCAUGCUUCAGUGAUUCCCUAUAUAAUCAACCAAAUUUUUUCCACGAAAGGGGGGGCCCGGGCCCCCCAGGGCCCCCCUGGAUCCGCCUAUGUCAUUGGUGGUUUUGAGUUGUUUUUUACUCUUUUGCCUGGCUGUUGUUUCUUUUACACAUUCCCCAUUUCCUUUCUGUAUUCUAUUCUUUAAAGUAUAUAGCAGAUUAUACUCAAGAUCAAUACAAGAUAGCUCUUAUGUUUUUUAUUUGUUAUUUUCUCUGUUUUGGAAGGACUUUUCUAUCAAUACUCUCUAUUACACCCUUUUCAACAAGCUCUGAUAACUGUGUUACAUGUACAUUUGAGUCUUGUAACUACCUUAUCAUCAUUAAACUUUAACUUCAAAUCUAUAAAUGAUAUAUGUGUAUGCAUAUAAAACGUUAUUUUAUGUAAAUUUUCCUUUAAUGAUUUCUACAAACUCAGGAAUAUGAUCAUACCAUUGUGGCAGUACAUUGAAUAUUCAGGUUCCAAACAACAAAAGUUUCCUGUUUCCGCUGUGAAUCUUGACCCUCAUUUCAAUGCUGCUUAUGAAAUGUACCUGCAAUCAUAUAUAUUCAAUAUUACAUUAGCUUUACAUAUUAGGGGAUCCAGGGGGGGGAGGAGGGGGUUGGAACCCCCCUUUUUUGGAUGAUCAAUGCAUUUGAAUGGGGACAUGUAGUUGACCCCCCCCCCCCCCCCCCCCCCCGUCUGUCCUGGGUUAGGAACCCCCCCUUUUUAAAAUGGCUGUAUCCACCCUGUUUACAUCUAGGUUAUGGUGAAGUAAAUCAGCAUCAAGUGAUCAUUUACAUUUUGCUUGGUUAUGAGACCAUAUUUUGGUGGUUGUUUAACUUAAAAUUGAGAAUGGAGAUGGGGAAUAUGUGAAAGAGACAACAACCCGACAAAGGAGCAGACAACAGCGGAAGGUCACCAAAGGGUCUUCAACGCAGCAAGAAAAUUCCACACACAGAGGUGGUCCUCAGCUUGCUUCCUAAACAAAAUUGUGUACUAGUUCAGUGAAAAGCAAAAAAGUUGUUUCACUUGUACAUGUGCCAAUAACGUCUGCUUAUAAAUAGUGUGAUGCAGUUGACAAGCUUCUUCUCAUGUGCUUAAAUUGUCCAACUCAGUUUGGCGAAGUUCGCUUCAGUCACAUCUGCCUUGAAGGAUUGACCUUGUUAUGCGUCAGCUUACUAUCCCUUUAUAGCCUUGCAUAGAUAUUUUGAUGUGGAAAACUUUACAUGCAUUGUAACAUGAAUCUAGGUUAUUUAAUCAUCUAUUGAUCUAGAAGAUUCAAUAGUAUAGGGCACUGACAUAUUUUGUUUGGCAGACAUGUACCCUUACUGAAUCUUAAUUGAUUUAAAAAAAUUAAAUCUUUGCAUUCAAAAUGAUAUUAAAGGGACUAACUUGGUCACACUUUUAUGAUUUGUCUUGAUAUUUAUAGUAUACCAAGGUCCAUUAACACCAGAGAUGGCAAUUCUUGAUACCAUUAUUCAUAAGAAAGUCAAGUUCUGGGUAAAUUGGUACCUACGGAGCAUUUAGGGUCACAUCAAAAUAUAUGACAUUUAUAUAGUAAAGGUCUAUUGACACAAAGAUGACAAUGUUAUAAGAUUUAAAUUACCAUUAUAAAUUGAAGUAUCAUUUUAUUGUUUAUAAAGAUGUAUGUUUUACAAGUAUAUACCUGUGUUAGGUCAACACAAAUUUUAUGUAAUCUUGUAGAUUUAAAUUUUGAUGCCAACCCGAUUUGCCAGUACAUAGGAUCUUUUGUUAUCUACAUAACUGUUUAUCAAAUCAAUAUGAUAAAAAAAUAGUUGAACUGAAAUCUUUUCAUAUAAUCUACAAUAGGGUCUCUUUGUAGAUUUAUAGUUUUGUAAGGAAUUUUGACUGGUCUUUAUUUAGUUUUUGGUAUUGAGGGUUAGUUUCAUCUUAUUAUACAUAAUUUGAUAUUUGUAAGAAUAGGACAGAUAGAUUCAAUUUGUCAAAUACCUGUAAUUAUCUUUAAAGACAUCUGUUAUCAGACAAAGAAGCUGUUUAAAUUGGGGUAAUUUCUUUCCCACCCUUUCUUCAGUAAAUAUGGAAGUACAGAAAACUGAAGCGCACAUGUCAGCAAAGUUGAAUUUUUCAUGGACAAUUUUUUUUGUAGAUGUUAUUAUUAAAGGGCUAGUUAUGAUAGAUGAAUAUUUCUCACACAAGGUUUUAGUUUCUAGUCCAAAGCUUUAACAAAACAAUAACUAAAUUGGUAAAUUACCCUGAAAUAACACUCUCCUCCCUGCAUUACAAUACAUUGAAUAUGACCUUUCUUUUAAAUGCUUUUUGUUCGAAGUAAUAUAUUUAUUUCAUUUAUAAGAAGUAUAAUUAAAAAGACCUUCAGACUUUAUUUCAACAUGCAAUAUAUCUGUUGUUAAUAAAUCGACAUGUGUUUUCCUUUGAUAUGCCUUAUAAAAAAGAUUUUAAAAAAUUGACUUAUUUAUCAUGCUGUGUUUUUCAUUGUUUAAAUUCUGUAAUUUCAGAGGCCAGUUUUACAGAAAUUAAGAAGCUGUUGCUGUUAAUUUUGGGUUGUGCAAUACAAUGUGAUAAAAAAGAAAACUUUAUCGAUACUAUCAAAAGUCUGGAUGUACACGUACAACAUGAAAUUGUGGAGCUAAUCAAAGAGGUAAUAAUGGUGGGAGAACAGUACCAUGGCUUAAACUUACCAAAAAGUUAAUUCUUCUAUUACAGAAAACAACCUUACUUUACCAUGUUUACAAGCGAAUGAGUUAGGUUAUUUUCUGUGUGGGAAAAGAUCGAUGCAAAAAUAAAUUGCCAGGAGCAAACUUCAAAUCUUCUCUUAUGUGAAAUAAUAGAAAAAUCUUGAAAACAAAUUGUAAUUAAGUUUUUUAUGUGGGCCAAAUGUUUAAAAGUAUCUGCAAAAAAAAGGCUGAUUUACAAAAAUUAUACAUGUUCUAACUGUAAAGUUUCAUUUGAAGCUAUUGCUUGUAUCAAUUGGCGAUUCAUUUUUCUAUUACGGCUAGGGCUGUUCUUAUUUAUGGUCUGGGGGUAAAGUUAUGGUUAUUACAUUAUUUUAAGUUAUUUGGGAAAUCAGGUACACCUCGGAAUGUAACUUCAAAGUUAUUUUACACUGAACAUUAUGUUUUGAAUAAUCUAGAUGGAUAAGAGAUUAGGAGCUCUGAAUUUAAAACUUAAGUUAUUUUAGACCGAAGAUACUGUUUUUGUGUAUUAUAGAUGUAUAGGAGAUAAAGAGAAUUCAAUUUCAACCUUGAAAUAAAAGACUCACAUUUGUAUGCUUUACAAAAUACUUCAAUUGAAUGUGAAACCAGAGCCACUCUACUUACCAAAUAAUAGAGUCUUUAAAAGAUUAGGCUGGGGUUGUGACAUAUCAGAUUAUUGUACAAUUGAAAAAUGAGCCUCCCCCUUUUAUUUUACAAGCACAUAAGACAAGAGAUGCUGAUCUAAUUUUUGGUCUUCAAAACAUCGAGAUCCCCUGUAAAUUUAUUGAGCUGUGUAUUAAUUCCAACUGCCAGAUUAUGGUAUAAUUUUGAAAAAGUAGCCCCCCUUUUUGUCAAGCAUAUAAUAUGCUGAUCUAAUCGUUCUUCUACAAAUUGAGGAGAUCUGUAACUUUAUGGAGAUGUGUAUUGAUUCCAACUGCAGUGAUUGACAAGUCUGCUUUGUAAUCAAAUCCCAUUAAAACUUUACUUGACAUCUGUCCAUGUCUCCUCCAGUCUGUUAACAAUGACAGAAUCCCCAGUUAAUACGCUAACUAGGCACAGUAAUGUUAGUAAUAGGCUUUAGAGAUUUACCAUGUAGAACAAGUGACAAAAAGACAAUAAUUAGUUUAUGAAGUAGGUGUGGAGCUAAUCAUUUGUACUUUCACCUUGAUUAUUACCUAUAGGGCUAUUGGUUUUGAUAUUAAUCACUUUCUAUAUAUAAAUACCUGUAAUUAUCGAUUGAUUUAGAUAUCAAAGGAAAGUAUUUAGAUAGGCGUGAUGAUGGGUCAAUGAUAAAAUUCUCCCUGUAGCUAUUUCCUCCCUUGAUUGUAAUAACAAAUUCUGUGUUGCUUGCCUGUUAAUUAUUUAUUUGGUGAUUAAGAUAACAUAUUCAUUGAAUUAUAUGCCUAGAUUGAAAAAAUGGAUAUUAGACCUUGGGGAAAUUAUAUGUCAACAAAUCAUUGAUUGUCUGGGAAUCUUGCUCUUAACCAUAGUCUUGUGCUGGCAAAAAUGCAAUCUAUUUAUAUUUGCUAUGGAUGAUGCAAAAUUGAAGUAUUACAUUUAAAGGAUUUUUUUUUUAUAUGGAACAUCCUAUAAAAAUCAUCAAAAUCUAAGAUGAUUUUUGUCGAGCCUGCAACUUUUGUUGCAGAAAGCUCGACAUAGGGAUAGUGAUCCGGCGGCUACGGCGGCGGUGUUAGCUAACUUCUUAAAAGCUUUAUAUUUUAGAGGGUGGAAGACCUGGAUGCUUCAUACUUUGUAUAUAGAUGCUUCAUGUUACGAAGUUUCCGUCAGUCACAUGUCCAAUGUCCUUGACCUCAUUUUCAUGGUUCAGUGACUACUUGAAAAAAAAAGUUCAGAUUUUUUGUAAUGUUGAAUUCUCUCUUAUUAUAAGUAAUAGGAUAACUAUAUUUGAUAUGUGCGUACCUUGCAAGGUCCUCAUGUCUGUCAGACAGUUUUCACUUGACCUCGACCUCAUUUCAUGGAUCAGUGAACAAGGUUAAGUUUUGGUGGUCAAGUCCAUAUCUCAGAUACUAUAAGCAAUAGAGCUUGUAUAUUCGGUGUAUGGAAGGACUGUAAGGUGUACAUGUCCAACUGGCAGGUGUCAUCUGACCUUGACCUCAUUUUCAUGGUUCAGUGCUUAUAGUUAAAUUUUUGUGUUUUGGUCUGUUUUUUUCAUACUAUAUGCAAUAGGUCUACUGUAUUUGUUGUAUGGAAUGAUUGUAAGGUGUACAUGUCUAGCGGGCAGAUGUCAUGUGACCUUGACCUCAUUUUCAUGGUUCAGUGGUUAUAGUUAAAUUUUUGUGUUUUGGUUUGUUUUUUUCAUACUAUAUGCAAUAGGUCUACUAUAUUUGUUGUAUGGAAUGAUUGUAAGGUGUACAUGUCUAGCGGGCAGAUGUCAUGUGACCUUGACCUCAUUUGCAUGGUUCAGUGGUCAAAGUUAAGUUUUUGAGUUUUGGUCUAUUUAUCUAAUACUAUAUGCCAUAGGUCAACUAUAUUUGGUGUAUGGAAAUAUUUUAUGAUCUUUAUGUCAGUAGCGCAGGUUUCUUUUGACCAUGACCUCAUUUUCACGGUUCAUUGCACAGUGUUAAUUUUUUGUGUUUUGGUCUAUUUUUCUUAAACUAUAAGUAAUAGGUCAACUAUAUAUGUUGUAUAGAAGCAUUGUUAGCUGUAGUACAUGUCUGCCUGGCAUGGUUUAUCUGACCUUGACCUCAUUUUCAUGGUUCAUUGGUCUUUGUUUUGUUAUCUUGGUUAAUGUUAAGUUUAUGAGACAGUUGUAAUAAAGCUUUAUACUUAGGACUAUCAACAUAAUAUCAAUGAUUAGUAUAGAAGGCGAGACAUUUCAGCGUGUGCACUCUUGUUUUAAGUUUUUUAAGGAGGAGGUCUUCACAGAAAUGUGGUAGAUGAGUAGUUCGGUUAAUUACAUUUGUCACUUAUGAGCUUAGCCAUUUCAUUACCCAGUGAUGGUUGGGAGUUUUUGCAGUCUUUUGCUCAUUGAAAAAGUACAUUUAAUCAACCCAUAUGUGAUAAGGCUUUGUAAAAUCCAGAAUAAAAGAGCAAUUGUUUAUUGAUGCAAAAAAACUUUGCAAAACUACAACUUGCAUUUAAAUUUUUUGCUGGUUAUAUUCUUCUAUAUCAUGUGAAACAAUAAUUACCUUGAUUAAUCUAGCAUAAUUGUCAAGUUACCAAACAUUUCAUUUGGUAAUUCCAUCAUCAUGCAUUAAAUUCUGAAUUUACAAUACUAAAUAAUGGAUGUAGGUUUCUCUGGUUCAUUUCCAUUUCUUGUACCAUUAAAGAUAACCACUUCUGUAUUAAUGUUUAAAAAGUGAUGGAAAGCCCUAGCAGACUAAUAGACCAAAAAAUGUCACGUAAAUUAAGAUUGAAGGGUCAUGUUGAUGUAAGGCUUUCUGUAAUGUUAAUAGAACAUAUAUCUAAAACCUAUUAUUAUUCCAUUAACUUUCAAACAGUUUCAAGAGCUAAAAAAACGGAAAUGGAUUAUUGAAUACUUUGUAACAUGUUAGGGCAGUUGUAUUUUCUGAAAUAGACGUUGAAUAAUACAUUUCACAUCAAAGAAAUCAAUUAAACCUAUUAAAUACACCUCAAAUUCCUGUUGAUAGGAAAAUUGUAAAAUAAAAAGUUAGUUUAAAGACAGAAAGUAUCUGUAAAAAAACAACAAAACUCUCCUCAUCAAAGGCUCAAAAGACAGUCUUUGUCACGUGAAAAUGUAUUACAUGAAUUAUGUAUACAUUCCAAUUCUUAAAACUGCACUGAAAAACCUUAUUCAUUUUAAAACCUGAGUUUUAUUUAUUAGAUACAAUGAUCAUAAUUAAAUGAUAAUCUACAAGGAUUGUGUAUUAUUAGCGAUACAGAUCAUUAGAAUACUAUUAGGUUCUGUAUGUUAUGGGUCAGUGAUGGGUCAUCGAUAAAAAAACAAGUUACUUGCUCUAAGCAAUUUACCAGAUAAAAAUCAAACAAUUAAGACACUAUAAUAAAAGUUAAUAGGUGAUUUGUUCAUUUCACUGUCCGAUGAUCAUAGAUAAAUUAUUGAAUUAACUGAAAAUAUUCAUGGAAUGUCCAGGAAUUGCAUUGUCACGCUAUAUUGUUCUCCGCAAUAAUUAAAUUAAUUCGCCAUUAAAAUAUUAUCUCCCUUGCAUGGGUAAUUUCACUAAAUCAAUUGUUUCCAAACUAAAUCAUAAGAGUUUCUAUAAAACAGAUAAUUUCCCCUGCGGAAUUCGUAAUUUGUAGUUUGUCUAAAAUUAAGUAUUGAUUCGUUUGUUUUUUAAAACAUGCUCUAAAUGUGUGCUUCAGUUCUCCUAAAAUCAAUAUGUUGAUCAUUAAUUUAAUGCCUCAGUUACUAAUUGGAUGCUUCAAGUAGGAAUUCCAAAAAUAACCUGCAUAACUACCAUGUAGAAAAUUUUGCAAGUGUAAUUGAAGAGAGUCUUGGAUAUCAUGAAACUUGGUAAAAAGAGAAUUUUGGAAACACUUUCAAAUUAUUUAUCUUGGCAUUAUUUAUUGGCGGUGAUCUUGUUAGCUGUUUUUAUGCUGGAUUUUGUUUUAACAGUCUUGUAACAUUGCCAUAAUCUUCAUGAAAGCCCAUCUUUAUCUUAAGUAUUUUGAUAUCCGAAAGAAGACAUUUUACAUGCAUUGACUAUUUAUUGAAAAAUUCUUAAUACCUAAAGAUGGCAAUGGUCAAAACUGAAAAGGAAUCUAUGGCUGUUUUUCAAACCCAUUCUUUGAAAGUAUCAAUUUUAAUUUUUUUGGCAGGAAAUUGCAUAUCAUAUAUUCAGUUGAUUUGUUUUAUGCAAUUAAAAACUACUAAUUAAAAAAAAAUCAUUAAUAAAUGAUGAUUCAACACACCACAAGAUAUGGAGAAAAAUAAUAACCGAAAGAAUUGGAUGAGUUAAUGAUUUUCUAUAGUUCGGUAUGCAGAUUCGGUGGAAAAAACAUAUAUGAAAGAAUCUGCAUUUUACAAAUGUUAAAAUAAUGAAAUAAAACAAGGUCAUUAUGUCUAGGAAUAGCACAGUUUGUGGUGUAGGUUUUAGAUAAAAAAAAAUAUUUUGUGUCAUCUUAUUAUAUUUUUGCAUAAAUGACAUAUUUUUACAACAUCAAUUGGUAAUAGGGUAGUUAGUCCUAUAAGCCUUUAAAGCUUUUCUUUUGUUUAUAUAAUAUCAUUAUUUUAUAUUUGCAGGUGACAGAUGAUACAGAAUUCAUCAUGCACAUUGAACCAACAGAACAGUUAGAAACUUAUACAGAAAAAAUGUUCAACCAUGUAACAAGACUACUGAAAGAGAGAGAUGAUUAUUUUGAGGUGUGAUAUUGACCAUAUUAGGAUGAAUUUAUUCAUUUCCAUAAUAAAAUAUUACUGCUUCACAUUCCAAAUUUGUAUGCCCCCACCGAGCGUUACUCCUGCACAUCUAUACAAUUGUCUCAAAAUUGGUUUCCUUGCUCUAACUGUAGUUUGUCUACACCAAAUGUUAUGAAACUUGUACACAAUGCUUAUUACCACAAACCACAGAUCGAUUUUUUAAAUUUGGACAUCGUUACUUCUGCCGUUCUAGAAUUAUGCAUCUAAUAAAUGGAAAAAUUGCUGAUUUUUUUGUUUCCGUUUUUCGUGCUUAUUACCACAAAACACAAAUUAAGUUGGAAUAUGCAUGCACGUCACUUUUACAGUUAUAUUGUCCACUUUAUAACUUUAUAUGCAAGCGGGGCAUCAUCAGUGUCUCAUAGAUGCAACUUCCAUUUAUUCAUCUUGAACAAUUAUGGAAUGCAAUUUAAAAAAUGUAUUUAACUAUAAAUUAGAAAUUUGGAACACAAAUAUAAUUUGAUCGAUGUAGUAUUUAAUACUUUUUCAACACCUAAGAUCUAUUUUAAAUGUUGAAUUGUAUUCUUAUUGUUAAAGUGCAACUAGAUUGAACGAAAUGGUCCCCGGCCUAUUGUCUUAUUUUAAGAAUGUGAUACUUUUAAAACUCUUAUUGAUGUUCUUAUACUCCAAAUGGUGAAUGUUAAAUCAAAGUUAUUUUACAUUUCAGAUCCUUACAGAAUUGGCACAGGAGAGAGACUUCUAUCAAAAACAAUCCCGAGGGAAUACUACAUUACCUAUGGCUCCUCCCACCAGUCCAGAGAAACAUCACAUGGUAGUGGAACUGGCUGAUUGUAAAGCUAAAAUCAGGAAACUUAGACAGGAAUUGUAAGUUAGGGAAUAGUAUAAAGUUAAAAUCAGGAAACUUGGGCAGGAAAUGUAAGUUAGGGAAUAGUAUAAAGUUAAAAUUAGGAAACUUGGGCAGGAAAUGUAAGUUAGGGAAUAGUAUAAAGUUAAAAUCAGGAAACUUGGGCAGGAAUUGUAAGUUAUGGCAUAGUAUAAAGUUAAAAUCAGGAAACUUGGGCAGGAAUUGUAAGUUUGGGGAAUUAGUAGAAUAAAGCUAAAAUCGGGAAACUAAGACAGGUAUCAGGAAACUUAGGCAGGAAUUGUAAGUUUGGGGAAAUAGUAUAAAGCUAAAAUAAGGAAACUUAGGCAGGAAUUGUAAGUUUGGGGAAAUAGUAUAAAGCCAUAUAAAUCUGGAAACUUAGGCAGGAAUUGUAAGUUUGGGGAAUUAGUAUAAAGCUAUAAUCUGGAAACUUAGGCAGGAAUUGUAAGUUUGGGGAAUUAGUAUAAAAAAGCUAUAAUCUGGAAUAUUAAAUGUUUAGAAUUAUGGAAUUAUUGCAAAAAAAGGGGGGUGAAGUAGUUUUCAAAUUGUUUUCAAAAUUAUUUAAAAGUUUUAAGAAGAAAUCUUUAAUUGCACAAUAGAUUUGUAAGAUCUUGACAUUUGUUUUGUGUCAGAAACUCAUAUUAUGUCAAAAAUUUGAUCACAACCCAAAUUCAGAGCUGUAUCAAGCUUGAAUGUUGUGUCCAUACUUGCCCCAACUGUUCAGGGUUCGACCUCUGAGGUUGUAUAAAGCUGUGCCCUGCAGAGCACCUGGUUAUACCUUCAUGCUAAAAUGAUAAUUGGUUAAAGUCAGAUAUAUAUGUAAUGUUCAUUCAUGUGUAUAUUUAUGUAUAUAUUGGAGAAGAUGUUACUAUUAAAGUUGAAAAACUAGUGUCUAAUCCAUUUGUCAUUAUUGAACAAUAAAAUAUGUUUAAACUAAACAAAGUAUUUAACAAAAAGUAUAUAUGAACAAAUAACCAGCUUUCAUGACAAAAAUAAUAGUUAUCUCCCUUAAACCAGUUCUUGACAGGAUUAAGACAUUUUCUAACACAUUAAGCAUGUUAGUACCUAGGCUUUGGUCACUUGGACAAUGGUAGUACCCCAAACAUUAAAAAAAUUACUUUAUCUUUAAUCAUGAAUUAUUACAGUUUACAAUCAUUUUAAUUGCUUAUCUUUUAUAUUUAUUUUCCAGGGAAGAUAAGCAAGAAUUAAUUUCAGAUCUACAAGUAGAC